AGUGCCCAGAGGGGUUGUGCCAGGAUCUGCCCCUUCCCAGGCCUCAUAUAAGGGUUGGCAGUGGAGGUGAGAGGCUCUUAGUGGAGAUCCCUACAUGCCUGAGGCUUUCUAAAGAAAUAUCUACUUGAAGAUACAGUUAUGGAGGAUGACUUCAGCUAGGGUGCUCUUAGAAAGGAAUUUCUUCCUGCUCAUUUAAAGAUCUGGCAAUGUUACAAAGGUCAUGGAAACAGCAGCUCUGCAAGGAUGAAGGAGCCGGGGGACAUUCAGCAAGGUGGCAAGCAUCCUCUCAGUAUUUUUUCUGUGAAGAAGCCUGCCUGAAGCACAAUAUUCUGAAGGAUUCCUAGCAUAAGACAUUUCCUAAUGAAGUGUGUUGACUACAUCACUCAUUCAGCAAACCUGCUGAGGUUGCACUCAAUCCCACUGUCGAUGCCAUUGAUGAAGAUAUUAAAGUGUAUCAAUCCCAAUACAGACUCUGGAGGGACACCAUUUGUCACUGAUCUACAUCUGGACAUUGAGCCACUGACCACCACAUUCUGGGUACAAUCUUGCAGUCAGAUCCUCAUCCAUCAGUCUACCCAUCAAAUCGAUAUCUUUCUAAUUUGGAGAGAUGUUGUGGUAAAGGCCUUUCUGAGGUUAGAUGGCAUCAAUAGCUCUUCCUUGUCCAUUGAUGUAGUUAUGCCAUCACAGAAGGCCAGCAUGUUGGCCAGAGAAGACUUGCUCUUGGUGAAGCUGUGCUGGUUAUGCCAUGUCACAUUCCUCUCUUCCACAUGCCUUAGCAUAGCUUGCAGGAGCAUCUGUUUUGUGAUUCUCCCUGCCACACAUUCAUAGUUCUCCAUGGCAGCAGGAUGAUUUUCUUCCUGUUCAUAAAAGACAGUUGGGAAAAUUAGUUGGUUUCAGUUUAACAAGGUAAUGAUUCAAUUUAGCAGAGAUCAAAGCAAGCUGCGUGGCAAAAGCAGAAGGGUGAAGUUAUGUUACUUUAUUAAUGUACAAUGUACUUUUCCAUCUUGCAGCAGAAUGAUUGAUUAUCCAUUAGGUUUACUGAGCUGUAAUUAGCAAUUAUUACUAAUAGCCUUCUAUCUCUAGGCAAAUAAAGGUCUGUAUCUUGUUCUUACUUUCAGACUGCAACUGUUUCCAACUUGUGAAGUCAUAUUCAGUGUAGGAGCACAGUAUAGUGACCAAUUAUAGAAAAGUCCCCUUCGUUAUAUGUCAUCUUUGUUUGAUGCAUCUUAAUGCAAUGAAAGAAAUAUGUGCAUGCUAAUGAUCUUGAACAUUAUGUUGAUGGAUAGUUUGAUGUCUGGCUGUACUCUUAAAUUUAGAGAAAAUCAGAAAAAAAUAGGUUUCUCUUGUCCAUUUUAGUGGCUUGUCUCUCAGCCAAUAACUUGUCCUCCUAAGAUGUUACUGGCAAAAUCAACAGCAGCCAUUCUGUAAACAAAAUGAUUAGUAGAGGAGGUGGAGUCUUUUGCAAGCUUUAAAUGAUAUCUGACAGUGUGAGAAUGAUUUAGAUUUAGACAAGUGCCUUAUCUGUGUACAUUUUCUUGUUUGUGAGACAGCUCUAUGAUCAUUAAAUUCUUUGACAAUUAUGUCACUGUACUCAUUUUUUACUUUGAUCUUCACAAACAUAUGAGAGUUGGAUCUUUAUUUAUGUAGUAUUCAUCUGUUCCCACUCCUUACUCCUCGUUCAGACCAGCAAACCUACAGUCAUCUGAAACACAUCAAAGUGUUUUUGUUCCAACAGAGGCUCCAUGGAUUUUAUCUUGUGCAGUGGUUUGUGUAUGUAUGCUUAUGUCUGUUCAUAUCUAAGCCUCUCCUCUCUUAAUGACUCUUGAUCUUGCUGUCCAGCAUAAACCAAAUUUGACAGCUGGGAAAAUUCUUAAAUAUAUCAAGUUUUUACAAGUCUUUUGAAAGUAGCUUGUCAGCGACAGUGAAGAGAUGCUAUUAGCAGAGUGAAACUGCCGUUUCAACUCCUACCAGACAUCAAACAAUCUACAAGAGACAACGAUGUAAGAAAAAGUGUAAUUUGGCAUUUACAUCUUCUUAGACAUUAGACAGUCUAGAAGACACGUGUCCAUAAUAAACCAGGCUUCCUACAUUCCUUCAUGAAGGUUAUCCACAUCUUAUAAUCCGGCCUGGAAGAAAGAAGCAUUGCCUUUGCUGACAGAAUGAUUUGGUAGAGAAGUGUGAACAACAAAAAUAAGGUAGCUUAAAAUGGAAGGUCGUAAGGAGCACAAAGAAAGAAAACACAUCCAUUCUGUGGGCUUCAUUCAACCAUUGAUGUGCCCUGCACAGGCACUGAAUGAGGGCAGUGGUAACUGAUUCCUCCAGCACAUUUGGGGUUGUGGUUGCUGAUCUGACCAUCACUGCUACUGCCCUGGGUGCAAAAGGAGCGCUACUUCCUGCCUUGGAGUUGCUUUUUUUGCAGUAUU